UAGCGGCAGGCUUAACACAUGCAAGUCGAGGGGCAUCGGGAGUAGCAAUACGUUGCCGGCGACCGGCGCAAGGGUGCGUAACGCGUGAGCAACAUGCCCGUAUCAGGGGGAUAAUCCAUGGAAACGUGGUCUAAUACCCCAUAGUAAUUAUGUAAGGCAUCUUAUAUAAUUUAAAGCUUUGGUGGAUACGGAUUGGCUCGCGUGACAUUAGCUGGAUGGUAAGGUAACGGCUUACCAUGGCUACGAUGUCUAGGGGUUCUGAGAGGAAGGUCCCCCACACUGGAACUGAGACACGGUCCAGACUCCUACGGGAGGCAGCAGUGAGGAAUAUUGGACAAUGGAUGGAAAUCUGAUCCAGCCAUGCCGCGUGCAAGGAAGACGGCCCUAUGGGUUGUAAAACUGUCUUUUGUAUGGGAGCAAUAAGGGCUACGUGUAGUCCGAUGAGAGUACCAUACGAAUAAGCACCGGCUAACUCCGUGCCAGCCGCCGC
rnacentral:rRNA from 1 species